UACGUAGGGUGCAAGCGUUAAUCGGAAUUACUGGGCGUAAAGCGUGCGCAGGCGGUUUUGUAAGUCUGUCGUGAAAUCCCCGGGCUCAACCUGGGAAUUGCGAUGGAGACUGCAAGGCUGAGAAUCUGGCAGAGGGGGGUAGAAUUCCACGUGUAGCAGUGAAAUGCGUAGAGAUGUGGAGGAACACCGAUGGCGAAGGCAGCCCCCUGGGAUCAAGAUUG
rnacentral:rRNA from 1 species